rnacentral:rRNA from 1 species
AGAGUUUGAUCAUGGCUCAGAAUCAACGCUGGCGGCGCGCCUAACACAUGCAAGUCGAACGAGAAAGGGGAGCAAUCCCUGAGUAAAGUGGCGCACGGGUGAGUAACACGUGGGUCAUCCACCCUUUGGCGGGGAAUAACCCUGGGAAACCGGGGCUAAUACCGCAUAAGUCCGAGAGGAGAAAGUCGCAAGACGCCGAAGGAGGAGCCCGCGCCCGAUUAGCUAGUUGGUGGGGUAAGAGUUCACCAAGGCGACGAUCGGUAGCCGGCCUGAGAGGGCACACGGCCACACUGGCACUGAAACACGGGCCAGACUCCUACGGGAGGCAGCAGUGGGGAAUCUUGCACAAUGGGGGAAACCCUGAUGCAGCGACGCCGCGUGAACGAUGAAGCCCUUCGGGGUGUAAAGUUCUUUCGGCAGGGACGAUAAUGACGGUACCUGCAGAAGCAGCUGCGGCUAACUACGUGCCAGCAGCCGCGGUAAUACGUAGGCAGCAAGCGUUGUUCGGAAUUACUGGGCGUAAAGAGUGCGUAGGCGGUUGGCUAAGUUUGGUGUGAAAUCUCCCGGCUCAACUGGGAGGGUGCGCCGAAAACUGGCUGGCUAGAGUGCGGGAGAGGAUAGUGGAAUUCCUGGUGUAGCGGUGAAAUGCGUAGAUAUCAGGAGGAACACCUGAGGUGUAGACGGCUAUCUGGACCGUAACUGACGCUGAGGCACGAAAGCGUGGGGAGCAAACAGGAUUAGAUACCCCGGUAGU